rnacentral:rRNA from 1 species
GACGAACGCUGGCGGCGUGCUUAACACAUGCCAGUCGAACGGAAAGGCCCUGCUUUUGUGGGGUGCUCGAGUGGCGAACGGGUGAGUAACACGUGAGUAACCUGCCCUUGACUUUGGGAUAACUUCAGGAAACUGGGGCUAAUACCGGAUAGGAGCUCCUGCUGCAUGGUGGGGGUUGGAAAGUUUCGGCGGUUGGGGAUGGACUCGCGGCUUAUCAGCUUGUUGGUGGGGUAGUGGCUUACCAAGGCUUUGACGGGUAGCCGGCCUGAGAGGGUGACCGGCCACACUGGGACUGAGAUACGGCCCAGACUCCUACGGGAGGCAGCAGUGGGGAAUAUUGCACAAUGGGCGGAAGCCUGAUGCAGCAACGCCGCGUGCGGGAUGACGGCCUUCGGGUUGUAAACCGCUUUCGGCUGUGAAGAAGCGAGAGUGACGGUAAUGGGUGAAGAAGCACCGGCUAACUACGUG